GCUGGUUUCGGUGACCUGUGGGACUCCUUCGUAGCUAUCUAGUUUGUCAGUUGUUGGGUUGUUGUACCUCACAACCUGUGUGCACCAGAGCACAGGGAACAGUUAGCCUCAUGGCCAGCAACUCCAAAAAGAAGGAUGUUGGAAGUCAGUACAAGGUGCUUUUCACUCUUGGCCAUGGUUCAUUUGGCACCGUGAAACUGGCCUGUCACUUGAAAACCAAGGCACUGGUUGCCAUAAAAAUGGUAGAGCUCAGCAAGAAGAACAUCAGGGGAAUCCGUGCAGAGAUAGCCACAUUAGAGAAACUACAGCAUCCUAACAUCAUCUGCCUCUUCCAGGUGCUGGUAACAUCUAAGCACAUUAAUAUCGUUACCGAAUAUAUUCCAGGAGGAAACUUGUUUGACAUCAUAAAGGAGGAUGGCCCGAUGCACGAGGAAGAGGCAAGGAGAAUAUUUGGGCAGGUAGUGUCAGCUGUAAAAUACUGCCACAACCAGGAUAUUGUCCAUCAGGACAUAAAAGCACAGAAUAUUCUGAGGGAUGAGGAGGGGAAUGUCAAAAUUAUAGACUUUGGCCUGGCCAUCAGAUGUAGAUCUGGCACAUUACUGAAACGGCAGUGUGGGACCAAGAGCUGUUUUGCCCCAGAGCUCGUACUACAGGAGCCAUAUGAUGGCAAGAAGGCAGAUGUGUGGAGUUUGGGCGUGCUACUUUAUUUUAUCACCACCGGGUACUACCCCUUCAGAGGAAGCACCAUGAAAGAGAUGGAGGAAAAGAUAGCUACGGGGACCUAUGACAUUCCAACUCAUGUCUCUGGACAACUUGAAAACCUAAUACACCAGAUCCUCACAGUUCCCCCAGAGAUGAGGCCAUCCAUUGAAGACAUUGAGAGGCAUCCAUGGGUCAAGAAAACUGAGGUAAAUAACCCAACUGUGACCGAUCCAGAUUAUAACAUCAUUGAAAUGCUCUGCGGCAUGGGAUUUGAUGCCAAUGAGAUCUUAGAAUCCCUGCAAAGAAAAAAAUAUAAUGAGUCAAUGGGGGCAUAUUUGAUUCUAAAAGCACAGGUAGACAAGGGGCUUGAGCAUACAUCUAUCAUCUCAGCCAAGCCUGUGGAUCAGUGCCCUACACCACCCCCUUCACCACCAGCACAUCCCUCUAUCUCUAGUCUUCUCCUAAAGAGAAGGGCCAGUGAGCCCAACUUUAGCCUCCUCCACAUCCAGCCCUCAGGAGAGCACAGGCCUGUUUCCCUGGCACUACCAGGACACAAGGUGGCCAGAAGUGCCUCCAUGCCUCCCAUUGCUCUACACUAUCCUGAGAAAAAAAGCAACAGUUCUAGCUUUGCCCUCCAUUCUGGAGCUGUGGCUGCCCCAUCUGUCGGCAACAGCAUAUUGGAGGAUGAAUUGCCUGUGCCACCUGAUCAAGAGUAUGACAUGGGUGCUUGCUUCGGCAGCACAUAUACUAAACAGUGUGACAUGGAAACACCAUCUCCCCCUCAGAAGAUCAGCCGCUUCAAGAGAAUGAGCAAGAGAAUCAGGGCUUGCCUGGCACAACUCUGCUGUAUCCCGCGGGCUCCCAAGACAAAAAAGAAGCAUACAUCCUCCAAUAAAAUAGCUCCCUGAAAGCAGCAGGAGGCAGAACCUGAUGAAAAGGUCCUUUUCCAGGUGUGGAGCCCAUCCCUCCAAGAAAGGUUAGGGACUGCUCAGGCUUUCAUGCCAUUUUCCUUCUGCUAACCUGCACUACUUUGAGUAGGUCCAAUUCAGUGCUACUAGGGAUCACUAACAAAACUUCACAGUCUUACCUCCCAGAAGAUGAGUCAUGAUGUUGCAGUUUGCAUGACUCUUUAUAUGAAACACUCAGAGGUUCAACACAAAUCCAAAAGCCAAUAGAGAUCACCGUUAAGGUGGUCUUCCCUUAGAGACAGAACUGAAAUUCACCAUGGACCUCAUCUUUUAGAUGCAGAGUUCAUCCCAAUAUUUAUCAUCAUGAAUAAACCUUCCAAGCAGCUCUGAGAAUCCAUUUUACAGAAAAUGUGACAUCAGUGAAUGGCAAUAACAUCUGGGCCCUCAGAAGCCAAUCCUGGUGGAGGAUGGAGCAAUGUCAGUCAAUCGAUCAAUGAGUCUCUGCUGGUCAAGAUGAGCUGCUUCCAGGCAACUUUUAUCAAAAUGUAAUAAGAUGAUCUUGACUCUUUGACUGUUAAGUAAGUGUUCAGAAUGGUUCUUGGACACCCCAUUUGCACAAUGGAGGUAAGAAAUCUACUGAAGUCUUUUGGGGCUUUUGGAUCAUGUUUGUGUACUUAGCAAGGGACUGGUGUGAGAGAACAUCUCUGGACAGUGGCAUAUCUACAGUGUCUCACCAUUUCUUCAUGAUGAUCCCAUGAGUUUGGGAAAUGGAGAACACACACUGGCAUUAAAAUGUAACCUCUGAUGUAUGAAUUUGGGGCUGUGCACAGCAUAAGUAACAUUUGGACAUUUUUUCAGCUAUGAAGGAAGAACCAUUUCGCCAUCAUCCUUACCCCUGGAUGUGUUUAUAUAUGUCCAUGACCUGUUGAGUCUCCAGGGGAAACUUUUCGUGGGAUUGCUGCAGGAUGUAUGUGUGGGUCUCUUUGCUUGUCUUCUGUACAUGAAUGAUAGAGGUGAUGUUUUCUGUACCUGUGCAUAUGAUCACUGAAGGUGUAGUUUUUUCUCUCCUCAGAGUACCCAGGAUCUUCACAUCAUCUGUGCUCACUUACUCCAUUCUUGAAACUUGUACACCUGCUACCCAAUCAUGAUCUGACCACAAGUGACUAGACUUUUGAUGCGUCCAUGAGAACACCCCUGACUGGGUGUUUCCAUUCUUAGCCCCAUUGUAGGAAGGGAACAAAGCCAGGAGAUGUCAUGCUGUUUACCAGUUCAGGAAGUGCAGGAGAAGAGCACGUUAUCAACAUCAAAACUUCUGAGUGCUAGGACCCUGUUACUUUCUAUGGUCUAUCUAGAAUGCCUUCAGUCAGGUAGUGUGGCACAAGUUAACUCUUUCCAAAAAAAGCCUGACUGACAUAGUGCACAGAGAGGCCACAAGUCCCCUGUUUCCAUCUUUUUCGGCUCUUGCAUGUCUUCAUGGCUAACACUUCAGAGAAUUGUUGAUUCUUCUGACAGGAGAGUUCCUGUGCAAAGCUCAGACUUCAGGUUCGAGGGACAGGUAUAGCAAUGAGGGUUUUCUUAUGCAUUGCUGGAGUGCUGUGAUGUCUGCUAGGUACAAACACUGGUGGGAGAGAGCUGGGAACGUAUCUUCUGCAAGAAAACCAUUCUCUCAACUUACACAAGCUCCUUCAUUUUGUUCUACAGAUUCAGCCUCUUGAUACUGAACAGAUUAUUCUAGCUGAUGACCCAGGCUUAGAAGAUGGACUGCAGCCGUGAAGCCUGGCCACUGUAAGGAUGAAACCCAUCUUGAUGAAAUACUUGAAAAACAUCUAUGCACAAGAUAAAAGUACCAGGACCAACGGCUCAUCAAGCAUCC